UUAAGUUCAGCGGGUAUCCCUACCUGAUCCGAGGUCAAACUUUAGGUUUUUAAGUCGGGCUAGUCCCGCACGAGCUCCGGAGCGAGGGUUUAACUUACUACGCUUAAAGCCGGACGGUACCGCCAACCAGUUAUAGGUGGGUCCGGAGACCCCACCCAAGACCAAGCGGUGCUGGAGGUUUUUAAAUGACGCUCGAACAG
rnacentral:misc_RNA from 1 species